AUUGAACUGAAGAGUUUGAUCAUGGCUCAGAUUGAACGCUGGCGGCAGGCCUAACACAUGCAAGU
rnacentral:rRNA from 1 species